rnacentral:rRNA from 1 species
GUCUACGGCCAUACCACCCUGAACGCGCCCGAUCUCGUCUGAUCUCGGAAGCUAAGCAGGGUCGGGCCUGGUUAGUACUUGGAUGGGAGAUAUGUAGUAGAGGGGCCUCCGAUCACC